CGUUAAAGUGGCCUAUCAGUUUGUUUACACAAGUCUCUAAGGAUCAAUAAGCAUUGUCCAUCUGCAGGUUUGAAGAUGAUGCAUCAUUGGGGAUCGGGAUUAGAGAGCUUGUAGUUAGAUUUGCUUUAUUAAGUGAUUUGGUUUGUUAACUUAAAUUUGAAAUUUGUCGUACUAUUCGUAUUUCCUUAUUUCAGUUAAAUGGGUUUUGGACUAAA